rnacentral:lncRNA from 1 species
GAGAAGGGCUCUUCAGAGCCUGCCCUCCCAGGCUGCAGGCUGGCAUGAAGACUGUAGGUUAGAUGAACCAAUGGAUUUGCUGCACCCUAAGCACAGGAACAACAAGCAUUCUUCUAUGUAAAUGAAUCAAAAAAGGAAAGAACACAAAAAGCAAUUCAGACAUCAAAGACACAAAGCUUCAGUGAGGAUGUUGCACUGGUCACAGAUAAAAUGUAUGAACACAACUGAUAAUUUCACUGGAAAUUGCAGCAUAAAACUUCGUGACCUUUUCUGUCAGAACAAUACAUUGG